rnacentral:rRNA from 1 species
UGACGUUAACUACAGAAGAAGCACCGGCUAACUCCGUGCCAGCAGCCGCGGUAAUACGGAGGGUGCGAGCGUUAAUCGGAAUAACUGGGCGUAAAGGGCACGCAGGCGGUUGAUUAAGUGAGAUGUGAAAGCCCCGAGCUUAACUUGGGAAUUGCAUUUCAUACUGGUCAACUAGAGUACUUUAGGGAGGGGUAGAAUUCCACGUGUAGCAGUGAAAUGCGUAGAGAUGUGGAGGGAUACCGAUGGCGAAGGCAGCCCCCUGGGAUAAUACUGACGCUCAUGCACGAAAGCGUGGGGAGCAAACAGGAUUAGAUACCCUG